rnacentral:rRNA from 1 species
CUCUGCCAUCAGAGUUCGAUUAGCCAUGUUAGUCGAGGGUGCUUCUUCUUCGGAAGAAGUAACCCGGCGGACGGCUCAGUAACACGUGGAUAACUUGCCCUUGGGUCCGGGAUAACCCCUGAGAAAUUGGGGACAAUACCGGAUAGGGCAUCGAUAGCUGGAAUGCGCGAUGUCCAAAAGCUGAGGCGCCCAAGGAUAGGUCUGCGGCCGAUUAGGUUGUUGUUGAUGUAAUGGAUCAACAAGCCUGCAAUCGGUACGGGUUGUGAGAGCAAGAGCCCGGAGAUGGGUUCUGAGAAAAGAACCCAGGUCCUACGGGACGCAUCAGGCGCGAAAACUUUACAAUGUGCGAAAGCACGAUAAGGGAACUCUGAGUGCCUCCUAUCGAGGCUGUUCAGGUGUCUAAAAAGCACUUGAAGUAAGGGCUGGGUAAGACCGGUGCCAGCCGCCGCGGUAACACCGGCAGCCCAAGUGGUAGCCAUGAUUAUUGGGUCUAAAGCGUCCGUAGCCGGCCAGGUAAGUUCUUUGGGAAAUUUAACCGCUCAACGGUUAAGCUUUCAGGGAAUACUGCUUGGCUUGGGACCGGGAGAGGUCAGAGGUACUUCAAGGGUAGGGGUGAAAUCCGUUAAUCCUUGAGGGACCACCAGUAGCGAAGGCGUCUGACCAGACCGGGUCCGACGGUGAGGGACGAAGGCUAGGGUCGCGAACCGGAUUANAUACCCNGGGUAGUCCUAGCUGUAAAACGAUGCGGGCNAGGUGUUGGCAUUACUGCNAGUGAUGUCAGUGCCCAA